AACAAGUUAUUGUUUUAACCGCAUAUAAUAUAUGACUUGAUGAUAUAUGAUAAUAUAUGACUUCAUAAUGAUAUUUGUAGCGUCUAGCGGUUUCGUCCGCGUUACUUUUUUUUAUUCGGUAUUUAAGAUGUUUCGAAUACAUUACAGUUCUUGUGGAACCUGACGCUUAUUCGUUCCUCGAAUAAUUUGCAAACUAUGAUUUGAAAUAAAUAAAAAAUAGCUUAGCGUUUCUUUGUACACAGAAAGUAUCUUGUAAGAGUUCAAGGCAUUUGUGGCACUCAACAUAAUAAUAUGGGGAUGAACUUCAGCAUGUGAGCAUAAAAAGCUGUUCAGCGAUUUGAAGUUGCCGUUUUACAAUACUGGUCAUUCGAAACGUAAUUUAUGUAUUUAAAUAAAUUUAUUUGUUAUCUCUGUACCAAAGUUUUACGAAAUUUGAGAAGAAAAUCAGACUGUUGGACUCGUGAAUCUGUUUUUUUUAAAAAUCAAAAUGCCUAAAUUCUUAGUUGAUGAUGCCAUCUGCCUUUAAUCCAGAAUUUGUUAAAACUUACGCGAAGGCUUAACGAAACUAAAUUAACCAUAACAAAAGCAAAGUAAAACUGGCUAAGUAUUCUUUUUUUUUUCUUUGCUUCAAGCAUAAUACGUCAUGGCAACGCCCGAUUCAUAAUGGAAAAUAACGAAACGAGUAUUUGGGACCACAAGUAAGUUGCAUGCUUAUGUAAAUUUACAGUCAGGCUGUGUUUUUUCAUAUUUCAUCGCGCCUCUGAAAGUAACAUACAGUUAACCGCCUGUGAUUCGCAUCUUAUUCUAAUUGAACGCUCUAAUGCUGGGGCAAUUGACAUUACCGACAACUGAGUUCUUACCAACUUGUUCUUAGUUCACUACUGUGCUUCUCUACGUUUAACGGCUAUGAAACCCUGUGCUGACUUGAUAAUUUAUGGAAAUAAUUAUUGCGAAUAGCAGCUUUUUUUAAUACAAAUAUUUUAUAGAGAAUUUAAUAGGUUGGGGAAAAAGCUUCUUCGCAUUUUCUAAGAAAAUUCACAACAUUUUUUGAUAUCGUUUAUUUACAUUUAAUUAAAGUACGUAGGUACCAUUUUGUUAGAUAACUUUUUACCACCUUGUAAGUAAGGACAUGAUCCCAUUGCUAUAGAAAUUUUCUGGCUUAAGCGUUUUCAAUCCGGAAAUUUUGAUGUCAAAAAUGCACGUCGCUCUGGUCGCCCUAUUACGGAUAAAAUGGAUGCCAUUGUUGAAAAAGUGGAGCAAGAUCGACAUAUCAGUAGGUACGACAUAGCUGAAGAACUGGGAAUUGACCACAAAACAGUUUUGGCGCAUUUGAAAAAAACUGGGUGCACAAAAAAGCUCGAUAUUUGGGUACCUCACGAGCUCACUGAAAGAAACCUAAUGAGCCGUGUACUCAUUUGUGAUUCUUUAUUACCACGUAAUGAAACCGAACCAUUUUUGAAGAAGCUGAUAACUGGUGAUGAAAAGUGGAUCACGUACGACAAGAACGUGCGAAAAUGGUCGUGGUCAAAAGCCGGUCAGGCUUCACAGACUGUGGCGAAACCCGGGUUAGCUCGCAACAAGGUGAUGCUGUGUGUGUAGUGGGAUUGGAAGGGCAUUAUUCAUUAUGAGCUGUUACCACCAGGCAGGACCAUCGAUUCUGAGCUCUACUGCGAACAAUUGAGAUUAAAGCAAGAAGUUGAGAGAAAGCGGCCUGAAUUAAUCAACAGAAGGGGUGUGGUUUUUCAUCAUGAUAACGCUAGACCUCACACAUCUUUAGCCACGGAGCAAAAAUUAAGAGAGCUUGGCUGAGAGGUGUUAAUGCAUCCGCCGUAUAAUCCUGACAUUGAAUCCUUCAGAUUUCUACCUGUUUCGGUCUCUUCAGAAUUCUUUAGGUAGUGUCAGAUUAAAAUCACGAGAGGACUGCCAAAAUCAACUGUCGCAGUAUUUUGAUCAGAAACCCCAAAAUAUCUCUAGCAAUGGGAUCAUGUCUUUACCUACAAGAUGGCAAAAAGUUAUCGAACAAAAUUGUACCUACAUACUUUAGUUAAAUGUAAAUAUGCGAUAUCAAAAAUUUUUGUGAAUUUUCUUAAAAAAUACGAAGACACUUUUCCCCAACCUAUUAAAUAAUAUUUAAUAAAGGAAUUGCGUCUUAUUCAUUAACGCUUUUUGUUGAAAACCUAAUUGAUGUGUAUUUGGCUGAGCCCUUGCUCGCCCACUCGCCUGGUAAAACUGGAAAGGCUUCCGGGUCAUCAGUAAUCAAACAUAAAAAAGUACAAAUUUUUAUAAUCAUUACUGUCACUAGUUCUUAUAAUAAUGUGGAUGUUGCCAGUACUACCACGAUAAGACCAAGAAAAAAAAAACCUUUUUUGACCUUAUUUCCCAAUUGUAUUAAAUCCAUAUUAAUUGUCUAAUGGGUUGGCUCGCUUUUGUUAAGCUUAUGCAGUACCUACCUGCGUCAUUUAGCAAAAAAAUAAUAAUUUUUACAAUUAGAUUCUGGAAAUCCCACACAUUUGAUUACGCGCCAAAAUUUUGUUACACAUUUUUUACUUGAAUAUAUUUAAUAAGUUAUAACAACUUAAUGGUGCAAAACAGAUGUUUGAUGCUCAGAUCGCAACGUAAAUUUUAUAUUGAGGAAUAUCUGGUGAGUCAUAUAUCUUGAUAUUAUAUUGACCAUUCAUGGAAUAUUUUACAAAUCAACGUUGUCGAUUCUGGUACAAUCCGGUGUUAACUUUUAGGUAAAUAAGCUGGCCACAUACUUAUGAGAAUCAUGUGGUAUCGAUUAUCAUUUUAUACGAUAACUUGUUAUACUUGUUUUGAUAGAUAUUAAAACGGAUAGUCUUAUAGUGUAGUAAAAUAAUGUUGACAACAUUAUUUUCUUAGGUUGUACAAUGUUGGCUCAUAUGUAUAAAUGUUAUAAUAAUUGCAAAAAAGCUUAACAGAGUAUAUUAUAUAGUCUCGCUUAUUGUUUUAAAGUAUUAAGUAACAGCCGAACAUAUGUAUUUUAGUACUACUAUUAAAAAACCAUAGUUUCUGUGGAA